rnacentral:rRNA from 1 species
UACGUAGGGGGCAAGCGUUGUCCGGAUUUAUUGGGCGUAAAGAGCUCGUAGGCGGCUCGGUAAGUCGGAUGUGAAACCUCCAGGCUCAACCUGGAGACGCCAUCUGAUACUGUCGUGGCUUGAGUCCGGUAGAGGAGCAGGGAAUUCCUGGUGUAGCGGUGAAAUGCGCAGAUAUCAGGAGGAACACCAGCGGCGAAGGCGCUGCUCUGGGCCGGUACUGACGCUGAGGAGCGAAAGCGUGGGGAGCGAACAGG